UGUACAUAAUAAAUGGUAAUAUCAAUGCAUAGUUUUUAGCAUAACAUCUUGACUCCGCGAUAAUUAUAUCCGUUCGGAGCCUACGCAAAAUUAGCCUGAAUUGCAUGCUAUAAAGAGGGAAAAUAAAGCUGGAUUUUUCAUUCCUGCUCGGAGAGCGGCUGUCAGCUCUAUAAACCCAGCUAGACGAGACUGAUUCUGGGAGCCGAAGAGCCGAACUCACGCCAUGGCUGCUGGAUGCUGGGGUUAUUCUUUCGGGGGCGAUACGCAUCCUAUAGAUACUGUCCAUUUUCCGUGCUCUCCUUUAUUAAGGAUUAAGGUUCCCACAUCUAAUCUAAGGAAAAUGGGUCUAUUUCUCACCAAAGAGGAUUAAUACGUUGUAACCCAAAGAACCAAAAUCCUGUUCCAUUCAGAAACAUGGUAACUGUAGUCCUCAUUAAACUGUAGUCUUAUUUAAAGGCCCCAAUCAAAAUGUUAGUGUCUAUUAGAAAAAGUAUUGCCAUCACAGAACAGUGGCUCCAGUAUCCAUGUGGUCAGUCCCAUCGUGAUUAUACAGCCCAUCAGCCCACAGGGUUGAGCCCACAGGGAUGAUACCACAGCGGUUCUCUGUUUAGACGCAACUCAAAUAAAGCAUGUGAGAUGAUGAGCUGGAGCACUUUCCAGAGAAGGGGAUCAUCAAGAAUAAGAGUCAAACACCUGCUAUGCUGCCCUGAUUUAGUGCACCACGCCAGUCCAGGUUCACUCAGUGUGUGUGUGUGCGCAUUAGACAUACUGACAUCAGCUGACAAACUGAUGCAGCCAGAGACGACCACAGAGUUUAUGGCAUCAUCUGUCCUCUGAUUCAUAAGGAGAACUGCGAAUUUGCUUCCGGAGUAAAGUCCCUGAUUAGUAUCUGUUAUUGGUGGCACAGGAUUCACUGGGAGUUUAAAUUGUUUCAAUGUGAAGCGUUCUUAGCAGCUCUUCGGUAGUGUGACCCACGAGAUGUCCUUUUGAUAAAGAGUUCCUGAGCCAGACCUCAAAUCCGGACAGAUGCCUGAUGAUUGUUAACAGACUGAGAAGCAACAAUUUGCAAGAAGGCAGUUUGUUACAUUUUGUGUGUCCAGUGCAGUAAGGGACGUAUAGAAAAUUGUUUUUUCUGUAUGAGCAUGGCUUGACAUUAAUAUGUGUUUUAGUGUCAAAGGAGCAAAGUCAUUUUGUGUUAAAAACACUCACUGGUUUCCACUGAUUCAAACAGGGUCAAGUACAUUUCUAAUCGAUUUAGACACAUGUUGACUAGAUAUGUUGAAUCAGCGCUUUCACCUUAACAAAUGUCCUAGUUAAAAUUUGGCAUUUGUUGUGUUUUCCAGAUAUGUUGUGAUAUCAUCAAGAAGUUGUAGUCCACUAAGCACUGUUGCAAAACACCGUUAAGGUAACCACAGACUCAAUGUAGUUUAUUUUCAUCAAAAGUUUGCAUGAAUAGAACAGGUUUUAAAUGGAGCAGUUUACAUUGCUCAGUGUUUAAAGUUGUGGACCAAUAUUUAUUCAGGGCUUUACAAUUACACCUUAUUUACAAAGUCACCAGUGGAAAACACAGCGGUAAAUUCGAUCAGACGUAAUGAUCCGAUUUAAGAGUAUCUGAUCAAUUCUGACGAUGAAACAGCUGUGUGUCUCUGGGGUUCUCUUAGAGGGUUUUAAGCAGGCAGCACCUUCAAUUUGCUGCUUCACUGAAUUCCAAUGGACAGCGAGACACUUUGAGAGUGUUUGUUGAGACUCAAUGCAAUACGUGUGAAAGAGAGAGAGAGAGAGAGAGAGAGAGAGAGGACACUGAGAUGUAACCACAGAUUAUUGUGUCAAUCAUGGAAGGGUUAAGCGUUCUGUUAAAAUAAUGCAGACAGGUUCUGAGUUUGUAUUCAUGGGGUGACGAAAGGUCAAAGUUCAAUGCUGUUGUUAAAUAAUGUUUCAGAACAUUAUUAUUAUUAUUACUAAAAACAAUGUGUUAAAUUUAGAAAAAAAGAAGAUUGCGGAUCAUAAUAUUUUACAGUGCUUUAGGGUUCUUAUAUAAUGCAUUUUCUAUUCAUUUAUAAUUAAGGUGUUUAUUCUAAAAAAUAAUUUACUAUGCUUACUAUUUCUAAUAAACAGCUUCACAUUUGUAACUAAGUAACAUUC